rnacentral:tRNA from 1 species
GCCUGGGUGGCUCAGUUGGUUAAGCAUCUGACUUCAGCUCAGGUCAUGAUCUCAUGAUUCACAGGUUUGAGCCCUGUGUUGGGCU